rnacentral:lncRNA from 1 species
CGGGCUUCAUCUUCAUUGCUUGGUCUGAGUUCUGGGUAAGGCUAACAGCAAGUUUAAAAGAGACCUUGCACUGAGGUAACUUAAGUGACAAGUUCAGUGAGAAACCAGGGCCAGUGCAUGGAGAAUUACUGACCAGGCAACUGGAAAGGGUUAUCUAAGCUUUGGGGUACAGGUUCAGCUGGCCAGGAGGAGCUGCAAAGAAGGGGUGCAAAGAAGGUCAAUUCUGUUAAGCAAAUUCUCUGCCUUUACUGCUCUGAAACCAGAGCAGGUGACAAAAGUAGUAGUGAGAUGUAUUUUAAAAGAGCCAUCAGCCAAGAAAUCGGUCUUCUCUCUCCAGAUUGUUGCUGCAGCCCCUUGCAGUGGGUGCUCACAAGAGCAGGUCAUGGAUGCGCUGAGCACAGAUGAGUCCAUCCCUCCUCUCCCCAUCUGUCCUCUGAACAGAGGUUCAGAUCAAGAAGUGCACAGAAGUGCUGAAGUAUUGUCCUGAUCUCAACAGAUUUACAGGCUGAGGGUGCCAUAAGAUGAGGAGCAGAUCAGCAGAGACAAAUCUUAAUCUGGUGAGUGCAGUCUGGAUGUUCAUCCAAAACUCAAGCUGAGUUACACUUCUGAGAAGAAACCAAAGCAAACAGCCUGGAUUAAUCUACAAAGGAAGGAAAAAAAAAAAAGGUAAAGUGAAAAGUAGGCUCUUGUUU